CACAUCCUACAAUGGAGCCGACAACGGGAAGCAAUAUCGCGAGAUGGAGCUAAUCCUUAAACGGCCCCUCAGUUCAGAUUGCGGGCUGCAAUUCGCCCGCAUGAAGUCGGAAUCGGUAGUAAUCGCAAAUCAGCAGGUUGCGGUGAAUACGUUCUCGCUCCUUGUACACACUGCCCGUCAAACCAGCAAAGUUAGCAACACCCGAAGCGGAUGACCAUAACUCGCAAGAGAGUGGCUCUUCUACGGUGAGGUUAGCGAUGAGGGUUAAGUCGUAACAAGGUAUCGCUACUGGAAGGUGGCGAUGGAUCACCUCCUUUCUAAGGAGA
rnacentral:rRNA from 1 species